rnacentral:misc_RNA from 13 species
GGUUAGUAUGAUAAAUUGAAAACAAGUCAACUAGAAAUUUGGAAAUCAUAACCGUACCAUCAUUAAUUCAUUGAUGAAAGCCAACAAACAGCGUAUACCCGAAAACCUUUUCCAUUUUCGGUUGAAAGGGGGUACACAGUUUUCAUUACCCACACUUCCGUAUCAUUCAUUGGCCCAUCGGAAUUCCUGUAUUAUAUGAUCGUUCGUCUAUAGUAAAGGAAAAGCUGUUUUGGUAACAGACUACUGAACCUUAAGAAAAUUGUUUUUAAAUGAUUUAGUAACUGCCAGAAAACAGCUCGUCGGAUAAAUUUUUUGUCAUGUGAUUAUUUAUUUUAGUUUUAGGGUGCUUUAAUGGUACAAGGAACAACAUGGACCUGUUAGACCCCUGAUGCGAUUGCUAACCUCUUCGCCUAGUUGAGACUCUUAAAUCAAAAAAAAAUCCACAAUUGUACAACAUCCACUCAGGGCUCCCAAAGCUGGACAAUCUUACAUGAAGUUUUUGUUCUGCUUUCUAUGGGAAAUACGUCAUCAUCCCCUUAAGUGUGGAGAGAAUUACGAGAGCAAUUAAAGCUACACCGUUUUGAGUGAAGAACUCAAGGCAACCACCGCUUUAUUGGUAGCUUUAUCGAUCAUUGGUCUCUUUCUUCCAGCACUGAACAAUUUUUAACGGUCGAUAAAGAUGUUUGUUUCGUCAUAGACGGGAAUCAGCCAUUGGUAAACGUUUGUCCAACGCUCAAUUAAGGAACAAACUACACCGCCGAUGUAGCACAAUGAGUCGCAGCAUUCCAUCUUGCAACCAUAACCAAGGUAACUCUCCAACCAAAGAAGAUUCGACUAUAGCGACAUCAUUGCAGUCCAAAAUUCCCAUGCAACAAUGUUGCAGAAGAGCAAAAGCAUAUCGUGCCGGCAUCGGGCAGUGCAGCAAAGACAACAAAAACGGCUACGGUUAUCUAAAGGAGUAUGCGCGUUUGGGUGGGCAUAGCAUUUAUUUCUCUACCGGAUUCAAGAACGAACACAUAAAUCAUAAAUACCACUUGCAGCAUACACCAUAAGCCCUCUUUCGUAGGCUAUCUUAAAAAAACCACAUGAAUACUUUAUUAUGAAAAACUCAAAAAUAAUAUUAUGAUUAUA